CUGACUCCGCCUAGAACAAGACAGCAGGAUCUGAAUCUCAGUACCAGAUUCUCAACGCCUGAGUGAUCAAAAACCUAAGUAGAAAAAAAGGGAGUCCACGCACGGUGGCUCACACCUGUAAUCUCAGCACUUUGGGAAGCCAAGGCAGGAAGAUCACUUGAGGCCUCGACUUCAAGACCAGCUUGGGCAACACAGACUCUCUGUCAACACACACACACAUUAGCCAAGUGUGGUGGCACACACUUGUAGUCCCAGCUACUGGGGAAGCUGAGGCAGAUCACUUGGGCCCAGAAGUUAGUUUGAGGCUGCAGUGAGCUAGGAUCGCAUCACUCCCCUCCAGCCUGGGUGACUAAGACAGACCCUAUCUCUACAAAAUAGAUACAUAGAUACAGAUCUGUGGGUAGAGGAGAAUUCUGUCCAGUCUCAGAGAGUUGGAAAGUGCUUUGCAACAAAUUUUAGAAAAAGUAAAAACUCCUGCUUCACCCAUUCCUCUGGCCCCAAAAACUAGUUAGCAGUAUGCCUUGUGGGGAGGAGCCAAGAUGGCCGAAUAGGAACAGCUCCCGUCUGCAGCUCCCAGCGUGAGCGAUGCAGAAGAUGGGUGAUUUCUGCAUUUCCAACUGAGCUUUGAAGAGAGUAGUGGUUCUCCCAGCAUGUAGCUUGAGAUCUGAGAACGGGCAGACUGCCUCCUCAAGUGGGUCCCUGACCCGAGUAGCCUAACUGGGAGGCACCCCCCAGUACGGGCGGACUGACACCUCACACGGCCGGGUACUCCUCUGAGACAAAACUUUCAGAAGAACGAUCAGGCAGCAGCAUUUGCGGUUCACCAAUAUACACUAUUCUGCAGCCACCGCUGCUGAUACCCAGGCAAACAGGGUCUGGAGUGGACCUCUAGCAAACUCCAACAGACCUGCAGCUGAUGGUCCUGUCUGUUAGAAGGAAAACUAACAAACAGAAAGGACAUCCACACCAAAAACCCAUAUGUACGUCACCAUCAUCAAAGACCAAAGGUAGAUAAAACCACAAAGAUGGGGAAAAAACAGAGCAGGAAAACUGGAAACUAUAAAAAUCAGAGCGCCUCUCCUCCUCCAAAGGAAUGCAGUUCCUCACCAGCAACGGAAGAAAGCUGGACGGAGAAUGACUUUGACAAGUUGAGAGAAGGCUUCAGACAAUCAAACUACUCCGAGCUACAGGAGGAAAUUCAA
rnacentral:lncRNA from 10 species